rnacentral:rRNA from 1 species
AACGAACGCUGGCGGCAGGCUUAACACAUGCAAGUCGAACGCCCCGCAAGGGGAGUGGCGCACGGGUGAGUAACGCGUGGGAAUAUGCCCUUCGGUUCGGAAUAACACAGGGAAACUUGUGCUAAUACCGGAUACGAUCUACGGAUGAAAGAUUUAUCGCCGAGGGAGUAGCCCGCGUAGGAUUAGCUAGUUGGUGAGGUAAUGGCUCACCAAGGCGACGAUCCUUAGCUGGUCUGAGAGGAUGAUCAGCCACACUGGGACUGAGACACGGCCCAGACUCCUACGGGAGGCAGCAGUGGGGAAUAUUGGACAAUGGGGGGAACCCUGAUCCAGCCAUGCCGCGUGAGUGAUGAAGGCCUUAGGGUUGUAAAGCUCUUUCGCCAGGGAAGAUAAUGACGGUACCUGGAAAAGAAGCCUCGGCUAACUCCGUGCCAGCCGCCGCCGUAA